CCUCUACAAGAUGAAGAAGUCCAGCCCUACCUCUUCACCAGCCUUGAUACCGACUACGACCCCAUUGUGACGUCGCUCACAACACGGUUUGAUCCACUCACCCUCGACGACAUCUAUGCGCAUCUGCUCACGUUCGAGA